ensembl:lncRNA
AUGUCCAAGAAACCCUCUGUGUCAUGUAUAAAAGUCUUAAUGGCUCUGAGUCCCAUCAGUGCAGCUUCAAGACCUUCCCCUGUCACUGACUAUAGCUCUGACUCUUACUCCAGGAAGCCACAGAGGAAGGAAUCUCCCAGUUCUCAGGACCAGUCUUCUGAUAGACUUCUUCUCUCUCCAGCUCCUGCCACGUUUCUCCUGGGUGACCUUGUCAAAUCUAUUUUUUGAAGAUGUGAUCACUGCAGCGUGGAGUCAGGAAAUGAAGAAAACAACAGAGCUUUCCUCAGGUCAUCUUGGGGUCUUUCAGUAAACUGAAAGUAACUGAGUUAGAAAGGAAUCUCCGGGAGAGGCCAGGGGAGUACCACCAGCCCACCACUACAGAGAAGUUCAAAGCUAAGCUGCUCACAGAAAACAAUGCUCAACCACAGGGCGGAUGUGCUGUUUUUCACACCCCAAGUCAUUUAUCUGAAAAGCAAUAGCAGUAAAUUCUUCAAGUGUUUGCUGUGAUCGGAUUUCUCCAGAAGAAAGAAGAUAAAGAAUGCUAAACUUCUCCAAACCAUGUUUGCCUCACACACCUGUUUCUCCUAGGCAGAUUCUUUAAACCUUUUUUUCCUCACUUUUCAACAAGAAACUAUAAAAUUAAAACAAUUAUUUUUAAUCUUUGGGGAUAUUCACUUAAUUAAUAUGUUCACUGUUAUAUCUAUUGUGACAAUAGGAUAAUCUCCCUGGGAAGUGAACACAGUUUCCACAUGGGCAAAUGACAGGAGUAUUAAUUAGCUCAACACGCCACUAAGGCUUUAACUCUAAUAGUCUAUUAAGUAAAUGGGUAAUAAAAGAUUCCAAAAAGAGUUAGUUUUCGAGAAGAAUUAAGCUUCAAAAAGUCAAAAUAAUGUAAUCAAUUAAGAUUGAAAAAUAACCCAAUUAAGUGAAAAAACAAAAAUAUUCAAAUAUCCUUCGGAAUAUUGGCAUCACCAAGUUCUCUCUCCCUGGUCUCUUUACUUACUGUGCCUAUAAAUUAAUGUAAAAAAAAAAAAAAAACCCUUAAUGUCAUCCUACACAUGCAUCUUGUUUAGGAAGGACAGAAGUUUGCCCAAUUAUUUACCAAGUUUGUAUAAAACUUAAAACCCACUCAAAAUAUUUCUGUUGAAAACAUACUUGAAUGUAAAUGUAUUGGAAAAAAGUUGUUUGGAUGGGCUGUUGAAGCGUAAACUAUCACCAGACAGUUUUAGCACCAUUCAACUCCUCCUGCAACCACAUUGUUGGGUAUGGAAAUUCUAUACAUUCGGUUAAAUGAUUUGCAUAAUGGAGCAGUAUGCAAAUACUGGAACCUAGGCCCAGAGCUUAGGUCUCUUGCAUUUCCCACACACUUCUCUGAACUCCUGUCAAUACCACAUAGCUUACUGCUUAGUCAUACAAUGCUCUGUUGUUUAGGCCACCAGGCAGAUUGGAAGCUCCAUAUGUGACAGAGACCAUUUUCAUAUUUAUCAUGUAUCUCCAAAAUGCCUUUCACAGAAUUGGCCAUGCUUGCAUGCAUUUAUUCACCCAUUUCUUUAACGUGUAUAAAGAGCCUAUUAUGUGCCAGAAUCCGUUAUAUAUAUGCUAUUCUCAUAUACUCUCAUACACACACACACACACACACACACACACACACACACACAUAAAUUAUACAAGGUCCCUGCCUGUGAAAGGUCUCUGCUUUAGUAGGGCUUAAAUUUGAAUGAGAUGAGACAGUAACGAGAAAAAUACCAGAGGUGACAAAUAUGAUUUAAAAAAACUAAAAUAGGAACAAAUGAACAAAAUGGCUACAUUGAAUUGGAUGGUCAGAGAAUACCUCUCUAAGGUGAUAUCUAGACAGAGAUCUGAAAGACAAAGGACUUCUUAAUGAACUGAGUUGGCACUUACAAAGGAAUCAGUAGAAGCCCUGUGUGGCUACAGCUUAGUGAGAGAGGAGUAUAUGGGUGGUUUUCUCUCUUGGCUUUGGAGCCCUCCUCUUUCUGUCUCUGUAUGGGGAAGCAUCUUCCUUCUGCCUUCUCCCUUCUUGCCUAUUAAACUCUCCACUUCUUAAAACCAAAAAAAAAAAAAAAAAAAAAGGACAGAGAGAGAGAGAGAGUAGUAUAUGAAAUGAGAUGGGGGAAUAGCAGAAAAAAGUUCUUAGGGUCUUUGGAACCCACUAUUAGGCGUGUAAAUUUUAUUCUAAAUAUUCAGAGUUUUAGCCAGGAAAAUUGAAUAUUCUAAUUUGCAUUAUUUUAAAUUUGCUAACUAUUGUGAAUGCAAUACAGAGUAAAAAAACAAAGCAGGGAGAGUAGUUACUUUAUUGCAAAGUGCAUGAGAAAGAUUUUAUUGUUUGGAUGAGGGCAGUGCUAAUGGAGACAAAGAAAAAUAGAUUAAGGAGGUGUUUUGAGUGUAUAGUCAAGAUUUGCUAAUGAAUCUGUUGUGGAGUACAUUAGUCCAUUUUCAUAUUACUAUGAAGAAAUACCUGAGACAUGGUGAUUUAUAAAGAAAAAGAGGUU